rnacentral:tRNA from 1 species
GGGGUUGUGGUUCAGUGGUAGAACACUUGCCUAGCAUGCAUGAGGCCCUGGGUUCGAUCCCCAGCACCA